rnacentral:rRNA from 1 species
UACGUAGGUGGCAAGCGUUGUCCGGAUUUAUUGGGCGUAAAGCGAGCGCAGGCGGUUCCUUAAGUUUGAUGUGAAAGCCCCCGGCUCAACCGGGGAAGGUCAGUGGAAACUGGGAAACUUGAGUGCAGGAGAGGAGAGUGGAAUUCCAUGUGUAGCGGUGAAAUGCGUAGAUAUAUGGAGGAACACCGGUGGCGAAGGCGACUCUCUGGUCUGUAACUGACGCUGAGGCUCGAAAGCGUGGGGAGCAAACAGG